rnacentral:lncRNA from 1 species
UUACUUAUGUAGUUGUAGAUUAUAUGCUCUUCUAGUAAAGGAAACCUGUUUUAUUAAUAUUUAUUUCCAGAUUUGGGUAUGAGCUGUGACACACAACAGACAAUGGAAUGAUGUUGAUGGAGGGAAAGAAGAAUCUCGCUGCAUCAUGGAAACUAUUCUGAGACCUCAGGGCAGUUUGUGUAUGAUGAACACAGUUGCCUUUGCUAUCUGGCAUUAUCGUUCCCCGCCAACAAAAUGGAUUGCAGGAAAUUCAGUGGUGAGUGGGGGCGGGGACACAGCAAUGAUGUCUCAAAAU